GAUGAAGAACGCAGUGAAAUGCGAUAAGUAAUGUGAAUUGCAGAAUUCAGUGAAUCAUCGAAUCUUUGAACGCACAUUGCGCCCGCCAGUAUUCUGGCGGGCAUGCCUGUUCGAGCGUCAUUUCAACCAUCAAGCCCCCGGCUUGUGUUGGGGACCUGCGGCUGCCGCAGGCCCUGAAAUGCAGUGGCGGGCUCGCUGUCACUCCGAGCGUAGUAGUUACAUCUCGCUCUGGGCGUGCUGCGGGUUCCGGCCGUUAAAAGCCUUAUUUACCCAAGGUUGAACUCGGAUCAGGUAGGAAGACCCGCUGAACUUAAGCAUAUCAAUAAGCGGAGGA
rnacentral:misc_RNA from 1 species